rnacentral:tRNA from 1 species
GGGAAGGUGGCUCAGUGGUAGAGCACUUGCCUUGCAUGCACGAGGCACUGGGUUCGAUUCCUAGCACCCCG